CAGCCAUUCCUCAUAAGACAUGUUUUCUACGCCCUUCUAGGCCCUUCUCUGGACAUGCUUUAGCACCUCCAUGUCCUUUUUAAAGUGAGGGGCCCAAAACUCAAGGUGCAACCUCACCAAUGCCAAGUACAGGGGUACAAUACAAUGUCUGUCUUUCUCCCCUCUUAUCCUUUCUGCUUCCUCACCAUGACAUUUUGCCUUUUUACUUGCACGAUUACCACUACGAAGGGCUGAGUUACUAUUCUCUGUCUCAUGGCAAGUUGGGAGUUUUUGUGAUUCCUUAUGCUAAUAUAGAAAUUCAAAGCAGAAAAGUCCUGUUAGGUCAUCUACUCUGCUCUCCUGCUGAGAGAGGAUUUACAACAAGUGCAUAAUUGCUUUUUCAUUUUAAAUGCCUCAGGUGAUGGGGCUUCCAUCACUUUUGAAGUCUGCUUCACACUCCAGAACGUCCCAUGGUCAGGAAGAUAUUUAGCUUAUAUUUUCAUUUGUUCAGUUUCAGCCAAUUACUCCUGGUUAUAAGCAUGUUUUGUACUCCCCUAAACAGUUUUACUCCUCUCUGACUGUUUGUGUCUUACACACAGGUAUGGCUAUUUUCCUAGCCAUUGCUAUUCUUUACCUCCUUUCAUUAACCAGUCCCUGCAGCCACUUUACUAUUGGUCUUCUUUGAUCCUAUUCAAUUGCUCAUCAGUUCCUCAGCCCAUGGAUGCCCACAUUUGGGGCCUUAUCCUCUGUGAAUGCAGCCAAAACCCCAUCAUAGUUUAAUUUGUCUCAAAGUUACCUCAAAGGUUGCACAAAAUUUGUCACCUGACAUUGCUCUGAGUCCGAUCUUUUCCUGUUAUUCCCCAGUGUUCCCUCUUGCAGUGCAACUGUAAUCUAUUUUUCAUUUUUCUGCCUGGAGUUUCAGCAUCUGUUCCUUCCCUCUGGGGUCACUGAUAGCUGCUGUUCCUCACAAUUUGUUUAAUGGCCCUUACAAAUACAGGCCUUGAUCCCUCUCCACAGACCUCUCAACCAGUAUGGAUGGUUGCGAGUAUCUGUCCAAGACCACAACCUGUUCUAGUGCAAUUGUCUUCCAGCUCUUUCUGUUCUUUGUGGUUUUCCACUACUCCACUAAAUGUGAAUGCAAAGGAUGAUAACUAGAAAAGGUAGGGAGAGAAAUGGUGAAUGUGUAGAGAAGGCCACAAGUAUGAGUGUGGCACCUCUUUAGCCAGAAGUCAAUCCCAUUGAAGCUGCUGCAAGAAAACUGGGAAGGAAAUGUGGCUGGGCAAAACACACGCCACACCAUCCUGUGGUCUGUCCUUACCCACAGAAGCUAUGCCUUAACCAUGCUAGCUACAUGCUAGACAGGGACUGAAGAACAUCUUUGAACACUUCGAACAAGGAGGACCAAACUCUUUGUAGUGUGUUAGCUUUCCUGCUUGGUUCUGCCCUUAUUUCUCUGGCCUGAUUUCUUCCAGUCUCUCUCAUUAAGUCCAUCUCUUGCGACCUGACAUUAUGGUCCUGGCUGCUGCUCUGUGCAGAAAAAAAACGCUGCCAAAUCUCCAGGUGUGCAGCAUGCCCAUGGUUGCAGGACUGUGGUUCUGAAAAAGUAAGAGGAAAACUUCUCCAGCUCCCCUUUAGAUCUGCACAACGCGGAAAGGAAGUCCAUUAUCUCUCGAACAGGAUCCCAGUUAGUUUCCUUCACUCUCACCGAGAAACUACUGCUUAGCUUAUCUCCAUGGAGGAACCAUUAGUUAAAGGCAGGAUUUACAAUCCAACAGAGCCACCUGUCAUCAACACCCUAUCCAGAAUUCUCCUAACUUUUUGUUCGGGGAACUUGUUACAACUUAGUGUUGCCUGUAUCAGCAACACUAAUACAGGCAAAAGGCACCAUGGCCUUGGGGCUCUCCCAGGAAGGGAGGGUGAGUGGCAUGCUGGGGGACAGCAGCAGGAUGAGAAAACCAAUAGACUGGAGUAUGUUCCUUCUCCUCAUAGCGACCUGAAAAAUCUGGCUUUAGAUGCUUGUAUUUUCUGGUCUAAAGUUUGUCUCUGAAAACAGAGUGAACCCUGAAGUAAAAGAGGCAAACCACCCUUUCAUUGGGACUUGUAAUUUUCUGUCCACAGCAGUGCAUCUUCAUACCAGCUUCCACUGAUUCUCUGCCACUUGGGCUUCUUUUACAGCCCUAGGACUCCCAGUGUCUUUCUACAUGUACUUGCUCAACAGCUAGGCUAGGGUUUUUUUCAUAUGUCCAUAAAGGAUGUUGAAGCCUUUUUCCCAAAGGGUUUAGAUGCUUGGGUCCAUCUGAAAGCCAAGGUUUUUAUUCCUUCUUUUGUGUACCUGUUUUCUGGUUUCAGCAGCGUGCAGCAAUAUCUCAGGUGUUUGCAGUAAUCAUUGACUUUUAUUAAGGAGACUUUGUUCAUAGUAAUAUUUUUUCUUUUCUGUUUUUAUUUGCAAACCACUCAUUAGUUUCCAGUGCCCAGUUAUCAUUAACUCAUCCUACGGUUUCUCCGCUGUUGUCUUUUCCUUCCCUUUAUCUUUCUCUAGCACAACUUAACUGGCUCAUUUAGUGCUCUCUUCUAUGCUUCAUUUGUAUUACUAGUUUUAUUUUUGUCUUCCAUUGUUUGAGCAGACACAAAUAGUCAGUUCAUAUGACUUGAUGGAUGUGUUGACAUUACUGAGCCUCAACAGAGAUGACUCUCUUCCAGACUGAGGGACAGGAUCAACUCUUCAGGAACAAAGCACACAGCUGGAGAUCUUGGAACCCUCCACUGAGCAGGAAAGACCGUGGCUAUCUGCCCAGAUGAAGAGAGAGCGACAGAAAACAGUGGCAUCUUGCAUCACACCAUUUUCAAUGGUCAAAACUGGCAUGUCACAGGAUGUGAAAAGCAAUGAAUGUCAAAGUCAAAGGAACUUUGUACCAAGGCUGUACUUUAUCUCUGGUUCCUCUCUGGAUACCAACAGCAAAUGUGUGUCUUUGGGUGAUAUUUGUGGAAAGUAAAUAUAUUUUGUCUAUGCCGUGGCUUACCUUUGGAGGUACUGCUUCUUACACCAUUUUCUAAUGUUGAUGACACGAUGUAUUGCAAUAGUAAUAAUGAAAAACAACAACUACAAUAACAAAAAUAGAACAAAAAACCCUCAACCCCAAACCAACAACAAACACACCAAAACCCCCCCAACUUCAUAAUCCAGUAUAGAAAAUUAAGUUCAUCAGACAAAGAUUUCCCACACUGCAGCUUAUUUUCUCAGAUGAUGUGUGUUCCUUUUGAGAAGCAGAUGCUCUAUUUCAUUUAAUAUAACAGAUGAUUAUGGAAAUUACAACACCUAUUUGUAAUCAAGAUAAGGGUUUGUAUUAUUUUGCUUUAUGAUCCUAAAUCUCUCACUAGCUGAGUGGGUAAAAACGUGCAUAAGGCUGAAUGACUCAUCCUUGUGCUUCACAGGUAGAUGUGUCUGCCAUCAAAACCUACUGAGAGAGCAGAGGUGAAGAGGGCAUGUCUUAGACGUCCCUCCUCGAUACACCUUCCCACAGAUGAAUCUCCAGAGAUACAGAGAGUCCUUUCUCAAACUUUCUUACAAGCUGGAAAACUUCAAAAUAUCUUUGCAAAAGAAAUAACAUGGUUGUACGGUGUUCUUUUCCCCAGCAGCUUGUGUAGUUUCUACAACAACUCUGUCUCCAAAAAUCCCAGUUGAAAAGGCUGGCUCCUAUACCAUUUAUUAAGCCCCAAACUCAUCUAGUUGCCCACCAACCAGCAAGUCUGACCAAUGCAGAAUAGAGGAAAGGAUGGGGAAAAAAAUAUCAAAAAGUGUCACAGUUUAAAGACACCAAAUCUGUAAGGAAGGAAAGUGAGGAAAAUGACAAGUUCAGGUUUUCUUCCUGAAAACAUUUGCCACCAGCUGGCUCUGUUUAAAAUGCCUUGUUUGAUGCCAAAUGCCACCUGAUUUUACAAAAAAAGAAGCUGAUUGAAAAGUUGCUUCCUAGCUUGUGUGAGACAGAACUCAAGUAAUCUAAAACUCUAGAGAUCAGUGCUGUGAAUGCUUGGUGAAUGACAAGACUUCCUGCAUUUUGGUUAAGAAAAUUCAUUUUUCUGGAUAUGUAUGUGUGCUCAAACUAAAAAAAAAUAUUCACUUCAAAUGAAAAUAAAAAUCAGAAACUGGCUUUUAUGAGAUUUUUCAUCUCUUAUCCCAAUCAGAAUCAAUCACAGCAUCACAGAAAUAUGGCGUGUGCUGAUGUGGCAUGAUGAAGAUAGACAGAUCCAUGUGUCUGACAAUUCUAUACAAAUAUCAUUAUUACCUGAAUGAGAUGAGCCACAGUGGGCGAAUUGCCUAGCUGGGACAUCGUCCUUCAAAAGGCAAUGUACAGCUGAUAAAAGAGAUAGGAACAGCUCCUCAAUCCUUUCAAAUAGGCACUUGAAUUUAAAUUAAAGCUGCCACUUCGCCCACUGCUGAUCAUAAUUUUGUCCAGUGUACCUGGAGUCAUUGGUCAACCCCAGAGUGCCAGACCAUACGACUGUCACAGUGCCACCCUUAUCUCCAGAGUCCAGAGAACACAAAAACUUGGGGUCUAAUACCUUGCUGGGGGAAUUUGCACAUGUGAGUUCACCUCUUUGUUACAGCUUUCUCACCAAACACAGAUGAAAAUAAUGGUAAAGCAGGUGAGCAUGAAUGGAUGAAAAAGAGAACAAGGGAGCUGGAUUGUCAUGUGAAAGGGGGGAGUUUAGAUUUUUGCUUGUUGGUGCCCCCAGAAAAGUCGAGACCCAUGUGUCCGACCAGUCUGGCAGCAUCGCACAAUGAGAGCCUUCACCAACAGAUUCACAAAAUUGGAGGGUGAUUUGAUUGCCUUUGUCAGGGGGUGCUUAGUCAACAGCAUGAAGACCCCUCAGCGGGCCCUGCCAAAGUGUUAUCUGCUGCUGGACUCACUCUAACAGUUCAUGCAACAACACCUUUUAUUAAUACAAAUUGUGGCAGGUUUGUGGUCGUCGGUGAUAGGGUGCAAAAAUAUGUUUUAAAGCAAUCUACUGGUAUAUAUAUUAAGCAAGCACAAGCUCUAAUCCUAAAAUCAGUAUUUAUAAUUCUUGCUAAAUGCAUCCCUGUGGGGAGAGAAUAUAGGCAGUUUCAAAGUACCACAAGUUCCCCCUUUCUGCCAGGAUUUCAAUGGAGGGACGCCACAUAGUUUUCACUUCAUUCCACUCUCCAUUCAAUCCCUCUAAGCAGAUGAUUAUCAUCGUAUGGGGAGCACGUCAACUGCAUUCUGUCCAGGCAGUAACAGCUGCAUUUAUCACAGAAUUCUUAACCUCCUCUAAAUUUUAACCAUAUCCAUCAUCCCACACAGUGUAAGAGAAAAGGUUUAUUUGGUCACUUGAUUUACCACCCUUGGAGACACAAAGUCAGAACGCACAUAAGCCAUAAUAAAACCAGGUAACAUGAUUUGAAAGGUGAACAUGGCUCUGACAGUUGUUAGUGUUGGCUUUCCAUCAAACAAGAAGACACAUUGCUUGUUAAACAAGUCUAACAGCACUAGUGUUUUCCAACAGCAUUACUUUCUGGAGCCAAGUGUUGCAAUCUAUAAAGUGUCUUGCUACCCUUAUUUAGGAGAAGAGCCUUAUGAAUGUGAUAAUCUUUUAAGGUCCAAUUUUAUCGUAUAACAUGCUGCAACUUAUGUUUCCUAUAUAUGGUUCAUAAUGAGAUUAGUGGAGUAUAAAUGUUCAUGCAAUUUAAAUAAAUAGUCUGGCAUUAGAAAUAUAGUGUUCUGUAUUUGCCUGCGGGCACUGAUGUU